GGGAUUGUAGCUCAGUGGCAGAGUGCUUGUUUCACACGUAUGACACACUGGGUUCAAUUCUCAGCACCA
rnacentral:tRNA from 1 species